rnacentral:rRNA from 1 species
UACGGGGGGGGCAAGCGUUGUUCGGAAUUACUGGGCGUAAAGGGCGCGUAGGCGGCCUGUUAAGUCGGAUGUGAAAUCCCUCGGCUCAACCGAGGAACUGCCUCCGAUACUGGCGGGCUGGAAUCCGGGAGAGGGAUGUGGAAUUCCAGGUGUAGCGGUGAAAUGCGUAGAUAUCUGGAGGAACACCGGUGGCGAAGGCGGCAUCCUGGACCGGUAUUGACGCUGAGGCGCGAAAGCUAGGGGAGCAAACGGG